rnacentral:tRNA from 1 species
GGGUUUUUAGUAUAAUUUUUAAUAUUAAUGAUUGCAGAUCAUUGGAUUUAUAGCCUU